rnacentral:rRNA from 12 species
UGCAUCAGAUGUCGAGCAAGAAGGUAGCAUACAGCGACAAGAAGCACGAUUGCAGUAUUCAACAAAAAAU